rnacentral:rRNA from 1 species
GAUGAACGCUGGCGGCAGGCCUAAUACAUGCAAGUCAAGGGGCCCCGCCUUUGGGCGGGGGCACCGGCGGACGGGUGAGCAGCGCGUACACAACGUGCCCCUGACCGGGGGACAGCGGCGGGAAACUGCCGGUAACACCCCAUGGCGCCGCGGGGCGGCAUUGCCCGGCGGCGAAAGUUUCGGCGGUCGGGGAUCGGUGUGCGUCCGAUUAGGUAGUUGGCGGGGUGACGGCCCACCAAGCCUGCGAUCGGAGGGGGUGUGAGAG